UCUAGCUCUGCUGUCCACCGGCCCGAUGCUCAGACAGUCGCAGGCUCCUGGCCAGUGCUGGCCAUCCCGCAGGCGCUCCCCUCUCCUCGGGAGCUGUGUCGGAGGAGAAGUGGCCAGCUGAAACGAAAGCGACUGGAGAACAGUGGCGUGAUGUCAGUCUGUUACCACCUGGAGGACCUGAAGAAAAGGCAAAGCAGCAUUGAUCAGCUGAAGCGGCUGAAAUGGGGUGGAUACGGAUCCCCAGCCAACUCUGAAGGGCUGGAAGGCGCCGCUGUCUCGCUAGCAGAAGAAUUGCAAAGCGGAAGAGACCUGCUGAGCCGUUUGACCAAGCCAAGACCUUCCUGGCUCUGUGAAGAGGACUCUUUUGUUAGCUGCAGCAGCAGCGGGCAGGUGAGUGGGGUGUGUGGAUCACAAAGAUGGGUGAAUGAAUGGGCUUGGUUGUUUUUUUUCCUAAACCUCUCCUGUUCUCUGUGUGAGGUGCACAUCUCGGUUUUUGUUCAGAGGGAAAACGGUGGCUCCCAAAAGUGUCAUCAUGCUCAGAACAUCGGGAAAUUCAUGGUCCAGCCAGUCCUAUAUCCUGUUUCCAAUGGUGGAACAAGAAAUCCUAUUACUUGGGGAUCAACUCAUGCCUUAAAGCAGAAGGAGUCAUAUCCCUUCCAAACCUCUUGCUUAGUUGGAAAUCCUGAUUAGUCUCACCCUGGAUGUUCUCGUUACCCACCCAAAUCCUGCUAACCAUAGAAAUGUCGGGCUGGAAGGGACCUGCGCUGAGGCAAGAAGUAGUAAACCUGGACCAUUUUGCUGACUGGUGUUUGUCUAGCCUGUUCUUAAUAACCUCCAGGGAUGGGUAAUCCACAACCUCCCUAAGUAACCCGUUCCUGUGCUUAACUAUCCUUAGAGUCAGAAAGUUCUUCCAAAUAUCUAACCUAAAUCUCCUUUGCCACGUCCUUCUUGUCCUGUUCUCCGUGGACAUGGAGAACAAUUGAGCACGAUCCCUCUUUAUAACAUAUUUGAAGAUUGUUAUCUGGUCCCCCCUCAG
rnacentral:lncRNA from 1 species